rnacentral:rRNA from 1 species
UAGAGUUUGAUCAUGGCUCAGAUUGAACGCUGGCGGCAGGCCUAACACAUGCAAGUCGAGCGGUAGAGAGGWGCUUGCWCCUCUKKWGAGCGGCGGACGGGUGAGUAAUGCCUAGGAAUCUGCCUGAUAGUGGGGGAUAACGUCYGGAAACGGACGCUAAUACCGCAUACGUCCUACGGGAGAAAGCAGGGGACCUUCGGGCCUUGCGCUAUCAGAUGAGCCUAGGUCGGAUUAGCUAGUUGGUGAGGUAAAGGCUCACCAAGGCGACGAUCCGUAACUGGUCUGAGAGGAUGAUCAGUCACACUGGAACUGAGACACGGUCCAGACUCCUACGGGAGGCAGCAGUGGGGAAUAUUGGACAAUGGGCGAAAGCCUGAUCCAGCCAUGCCGCGUGUGUGAAGAAGGUCUUCGGAUUGUAAAGCACUUUAAGUUGGGAGGAAGGG